GGGUUGUCAUGCCAAUGGCACUGCCCGGUAGCUAAAUGCGGAAGAGAUAAGUGCUGAAAGCAUCUAAGCACGAAACUUGCCCCGAGAUGAGUUCUCCCUGAGACUAUAAGUCUCCUGAAGGAACGUUGAAGACGACGACGUUGAUAGGCCGGGUGUGUAAGCGCAGCGAUGCGUUGGGCUCACCGGUACUAAUGAACCUUGAGUCUUAACCUUACAACGCUGAAGGA
rnacentral:rRNA from 1 species